rnacentral:rRNA from 1 species
AAGGAAUAUUGGUCAAUGGAGGGAACUCUGAACCAGCCAUGCCGCGUGAAGGAAGAAGGCGCUACGCGUUGUAAACUUCUUUUGGGUGGGACGAAAAUAAUCCAUUUAUGGAUAGCUGACGGUACCAUCAGAAUAAGCACCGGCUAACUCCGUGCCAGCAGCCGCGGUAAUACGGAGGGUGCGAGCGUUAUCCGGAAUCACUGGGUUUAAAGGGUGCGUAGGUGGCUUAAUAAGUCAGCUGUGAAAUGUCUGGGCUUAACCGAGGCAUUGCGGUUGAUACUGUUAGGCUUGAAUCAAGUUGAGGUGGCUAGAAUGUGACAUGUAGCGGUGAAAUGCAUAGAUAUGACAUAGAAUACCAAUUGCGAAGGCAGGUUGCUAGACUUUGAUUGACACUGAGGCACGAAAGCGUGGGGAUCAAAC